AGAACGAACGCUGGCGGCGCGUUUAAGCAUGCAAGUCGAGCGGCAAGGGCCUUCGGGCCCUAGAGCGGCGGACGGGUGAGUAACACGUGGACAAUCUGCCCCCCGGCCGGGAUAGGCCCAGGGAAACCUGGAUUAAUACCGGAUGAGACGGGACCCGCGAUGGCGGGAUCCGGGAAAGGCGCUGCGGCGCCGCCGGGGGAUGAGUCUGCGUCCCAUUAGCUAGACGGCGGGGUAACGGCCCACCGUGGCGACGAUGGGUAGCCGGCCUGAGAGGGUGGACGGCCACAUUGGAACUGAGACACGGUCCAGACUCCUACGGGAGGCAGCAGCUAAGAAUCUUCCGCAAUGGGCGAAAGCCUGACGGAGCGACGCCCGCGUGAACGAAGAAGGCCGUGAGGUUGUAAAGUUCUUUUCGGGAGGGGGAACAACCGUGGCAGGGAAUGGCCGCGGGAUGACGUGAAUCCCGGAAUAAGCCCCGGCUAACUACGUGCCAGCAGCGGC
rnacentral:rRNA from 1 species